GAUGAACGCUAGCUACAGGCUUAACACAUGCAAGUCGAGGGGCAGCAUAAUCGAAGCUUGCUUUGAUUGAUGGCGACCGGCGCACGGGUGAGUAACGCGUAUCCAACCUUCCCCAUAGUAGGGCAUAGCCCGUAGAAAUGCGGAUUAAUACCCUAUGUUCUUCGUUGAUGACAUCUGAGAUGAAGCAAAGGUUUACCGCUGAGGGAUGGGGAUGCGUCUGAUUAGGUAGUCGGCGGGGUAACGGCCCACCGAGCCUUCGAUCAGUAGGGGUUCUGAGAGGAAGGUCCCCCACAUUGGAACUGAGACACGGUCCAAACUCC
rnacentral:rRNA from 1 species